UCCUCACUAGUACAAUGGUUCAGUAUUCCCGCUUUUCACGCGGGCGAUCAGGGUUCGAUUCCCUGGUGGGGAA
rfam:Trichosporon asahii var. asahii CBS 8904 unplaced genomic scaffold scaffold00105, whole genome shotgun sequence.